rnacentral:tRNA from 1 species
GCCGCUGUAGCUUAACCCGGUAAAGCGGCUGGCUGUUAACCAGUAGAGUGGAGGUUCAAAUCCUCCCAGCGGCG